UUGCCCAAAUGCCAUUCUUCACCUGUGUCCACCUUAAUAAAACAUUCACCCCAAAUAAUGUCAGAAGCUAAGAAGGAAUAUACUUGGAUGCGGGUCUGAAAACAAAAGCAAACUGUGGCGAAACGCCUGUUGGUUGUUCUGUUGGAAAGCAGAUAAAGAAUUAACUGGCUAUUUCCUCAUAAGAAAGAAGAACUUGGCCUAUUAUGUUUUGCAACAAGGAUAACUUUUCCCCAACUGAACCUAAGGCAGUGUUUCUCAACUUUGGCAGCUUGAAGAUG